rnacentral:rRNA from 1 species
UACGAAGGGGGCUAGCGUUGCUCGGAAUCACUGGGCGUAAAGGGCGCGUAGGCGGCAAUUCAAGUCAGCUGUGAAAUCUCCGGGCUUAACUCGGAACGGUCAGCUGAUACUGCUUUGCUAGAGUGCAGAAGGGGCAAUCGGAAUUCUUGGUGUAGCGGUGAAAUGCGUAGAUAUCAAGAGGAACACCUGAGGUGAAGACGGGUUGCUGGGCUGACACUGACGCUGAGGCGCGAAAGCUAGGGUAGCAAACGGG